GGACCCGCACAAGCAGUGGAGCAUGUGGUUUAAUUCGACGCAACGCGAAGAACCUUACCAGCGUUUGACAUGGGAAGUGCCGGUUACAGAAUGGUAACCUUCAGUUCGGCUGGCUUCCACACAGGUGCUGCAUGGCUGUCGUCAGCUCGUGUCGUGAGAUGUUGGUUAAGUCCCGCAACGAGCGCAACCCUUAUCGUUAGUUACUAACAGUUCGGCUGAGGACUCUAGCGAAACUGCCGGUGAUAAGCCGGAGGAAGGUGGGGAUGACGUCAAGUCCUCAUGGCCCUUACACGCUGGGCUACACACGUGCUACAAUGGUACGGACAAAGGCAGCAAACUCGCGAGAGCUAGCAAA
rnacentral:rRNA from 1 species